AGAGUUUGAUCAUGGCUCAGGAUGAACGCUGGCGGCGUGCCUAACACAUGCAAGUCGAACGACCCCUUCGGGGGUAGUGGCAGACGAGUGAGUAACGCGUGGGAAUCUACCCCAGACACAGGGAUACCUGGCCGAAAGGUUAGUUAAUACCUGAUAUUCUCGCAAGAGAAAAGCUCCGGCGGUUUGGGAUGAGCCUGCGUCCUAUCAGCUUGUUGGUGAGGUAAUGGCUCACCAAGGCUAUGACGGGUAGCUGGACCGAGAGGUUGACCAGCCACGAUGGGACUGAGACACGGCCCAUACACCUACGGGUGGCAGCAGUGAGGAAUCGUGCGCAAUGGACGAAAGUCUGACGCCGCGACGCCGCGUGAAGGAAGAAGCUUCUCGGAGUGUAAACUUCUUUUCCAUAGGACGAUUAUGACGGUACUAUGGGAAUAAGCCACGGCUAACUUCGUGCCAGCAGCCGCGGUAAUACGAGGGUGGCAAGCGUUAUCCGGAUUUAUUGGGCGUAAAGAGCGCGUAGGCGGUUUCACCAGUCUUAACAUAAAUCUCAUUGCCUAACAAUGAACCUUGUUAAGAUACUGUGGAACUCGUGGAUGGCAGGGGCAAGCGGAAUUCCCGGUGUAGGGGUAAAAUCCAUUGAUAUCGGGAGGAACACCAAUGGCGAAGGCAGCUUGCUAGGUCAUUUCAGACGCUAAGGCGCGAAAGCGUGGGGAGCGAACGGGAUUAGAUACCCCGGUAGUCCACGCCGUAAACGAUGCUGACUAGCUAUAGGGAGUAUCGACCCUUCUUGUAGUGAAGCUAACGCGUUAAGUCAGCCGCCUGGGGAGUACGGUCGCAAGACUAAAACUCAAAGGAAUAGACGGGGGCUCGCACAAGCGGUGGAACAUGAGGUUUAAUUCGACGAUAAGCGAA
rnacentral:rRNA from 1 species